UUCGCAGCUGGCAAGCGAAUGUAAAGAUAGACUAAGCAUGUAGUACCGACGGUAGAGUGGUUCCGGACGGGGGUUCAAAUCCCCCCAGCUCCACCA
rnacentral:tRNA from 3 species